CAGGUCCUGCCCUCCUUGUGGGGGGUCGUGUCCCGGGACCUGUGACUGAGAAGAAGCCAGGAGGCUGGCUGGGGCAUUAGGGUAACAGAGACCUCCUUAGCUGGUCCCCCUGGGUCAGUGCACUUGUGCGGACAAGGGAGAGGUCCUGGGCAGAUGGUCCUGGACACAAGAGAACAAUUAUGCCUCCUAAAACCUGGUAAUUGUUGUGCCCAAGAUUGCGAAUCCGAGAAACCACCAAGGAGCCGACACCGAUGCAAACACACGAGGGUUUAUUUACAAGCUCGAGCUUGGGUCCAAGUGCACCCGACAGAGCGGAGCAGGGACUUGGACCCCCGAGGGAUAGGCCAAGAGAGACAGUGAGGACGAGAGAGUGCCCAGCCCUCCUGCAACCCAAGCACAGGCCCAGACGAGCCAGGAGGGUGCCUUCCAACAACUGCAGCAUCAGGUCCCUCCUGAUGCCAAGUGAGGAAUCCUGAGAGCCCCCAGCUAAGCCUGUCAUCCCAGGACUGUGGAGGUCCUUGGAGAUCACCAGACUUAAAGCUGCAAUUACACUAUGUAAGAUACGAUGGCAGUUGGUCCUCGCUUGUCCCCUCGGGGGAGACGCGGUGCUGCAGGCCAGCAGAGGGGCCCCAGGACGCACCUGCCAGAGCCGCACGAGGUCCCCCGCGCUGCCGGCCAUGGAGGAGCAGAGGCACAGCAGGCUUGGCGGCCGCCCUGUGACUCAGGGAAGACCAUGUCCUCCUCUAACACAUCCAGGAAAAGAUAAUUAUGUUCUGUAAAGAGAAAACACACCAAUAUAGGGGUCAGUUAUUUUAAAAAUUCCUAGUUUUGUAACAUCAGGAACCGAGUGGUACCUGUUAUACUAUAAUUACAUCCACUGGCGCUGUUUUGCAUUCCUUCCAUUUGAGUAAGAACCAAAGAAUGCUUUUU